ACAACUAUAUCACGUUGAAACACCUGUUCCUGUACGAUCAUUGGAGUUAAGCAACGUUGGGCCUGGUCAGUACCUGAUGGGUGACCGCUUAGGAAUAUCAAGUGCUGUAA